AGACUAAAUAUGUCCGAUCAUUCAUCAUAAUUUUGCUUUCCACUUUGUCACAGCUUGGGUAUUUAAGGAAGAUAGAUGAUACAAGAUGUUGUCUCCUUUUCAGACUCUUUAUGCUCUGAAUGUGGUGUGGAGAUUGUUUACCUGCAGUGAUGGCUGGGAUGGAUUCUGGUGAAGGGUCUUUGGGUUCAGUGACCAAUGGAUCCAGUUGUGGCUUGGACUCUUGGCAGAGAGUCACAAGUUUAUUAAUUAGUUAUAUAGAACUGCCCGCACCAAUUAAAGGAACUUGCUCGGAGUUGUGUUCCUGCAGCAUGGCUCCCAUCACCCGUGGGACGGGGAGGGAGGCACGGACGGACCCCGGCCUGCGGGAGCAGCACAGGCAUGGACACGGACACAGGCAUGGGCACGGGAAAGCUGCGCCUAAGGAGCCGUAAGGAAUCGCCUGGCUGCAGUGAAAGAUCUUCAGGGCAAGAAAUCAAAUGAAAUCUUCGUAGUGAUGAAGUGAAAAAUAAAGCACGG